rnacentral:snRNA from 1 species
AUGUGUAUAGGGAGACUAAUCG